GACGAACGCUGGCGGCGCGCCUAACACAUGCAAGUCGAACGAGCGAGAGAGAGCUUGCUUUCUUGAGCGAGUGGCGAACGGGUGAGUAACGCGUGAGGAACCUGCCUCAAAGAGGGGGACAACAGUUGGAAACGACUGCUAAUACCGCAUAAGCCCACGGUGCCGCAUGGCACAGAGGGAAAAGGAGCAAUCCGCUUUGAGAUGGCCUCGCGUCCGAUUAGCUAGUUGGUGAGGUAACGGCCCACCAAGGCGACGAUCGGUAGCCGGACUGAGAGGUUGAACGGCCACAUUGGGACUGAGACACGGCCCAGACUCCUACGGGAGGCAGCAGUGGGGAAUAUUGCACAAUGGGGGAAACCCUGAUGCAGCGACGCCGCGUGGAGGAAGAAGGUCUUCGGAUUGUAAACUCCUGUUGUUGGGGAAGAUAAUGACGGUACCCAACAAGGAAGGGACGGCUUACUACGU
rnacentral:rRNA from 1 species